rnacentral:rRNA from 1 species
GACGAACGCUGGCGGCGUGCCUAAUACAUGCAAGUCGAACGCUGAAGGAGGAGCUUGCUUCUCUGGAUGAGUUGCGAACGGGUGAGUAACGCGUAGGUAACCUGCCUGGUAGCGGGGGAUAACUAUUGGAAACGAUAGCUAAUACCGCAUAAUAGUAGAUGUUGCAUGACAUUUGCUUAAAAGGUGCAAUUGCAUCACUACCAGAUGGACCUGCGUUGUAUUAGCUAGUUGGUGGGGUAACGGCUCACCAAGGCGACGAUACAUAGCCGACCUGAGAGGGUGAUCGGCCACACUGGGACUGAGACACGGCCCAGACUCCUACGGGAGGCAGCAGUAGGGAAUCUUCGGCAAUGGACGGAAGUCUGACCGAGCAACGCCGCGUGAGUGAAGAAGGGUUUCGGAUCGUAAAGCUCUGUUGUAAGAGAAGAACGAGUGUGAGAGUGGAAAGUUCACACUGUGACGGUAUCUUACCAGAAAGAGACGGCUAACUACGUG